UUCCGGUUGAUCCUGCCGGACCCCACUGCUAUCGGGAUAGGACUAAGACAUGCUAGUCGAGUGAUUCAGGCAAAACGAGUCACGGCAUACAGCUCAGUAACACGUGGCUAAUCUGCCCUUAGGACAAGAACAACCCCGGGAAACUGGGGCUAAUUCUUGAUCGGUGAAGAACACUGGAAUGUGUCUUCACUUAAAGGCUUUACGUUAUCCUCGUGAGGUUGCCUAAGGAUGAGGCCGCGACCGAUCAGGUUGUUGGUGAGGUAAUGGCUCACCAAGCCUUUUACCGGUGCGGGCCGUGAGAGCGGGAGCCCGGAGAUGGGCACUGAGACAAGGGCCCAGGCCCUACGGGGCGCAGCAGUCGCGAAAACUUUGCAAUAAGCGAAAGCUUGACAGGGCUAUCCCGAGUGCCAUCCGCUGAGGAAGGCUUUUACCCAGUCUAGAACGCUGGGGGAAUAAGGAGAGGGCAAGUCUGGUGUCAGCCGCCGCGGUAAUACCAGCUCUUCGAGUGGUGUGGAUGUUUAUUGGGCCUAAAGCAUCCGUAGCUGGCUAAGUUAGUCCCUUGUUAAAUCCAGUGAAUUAAUCAUUGGAUAGCGGGGGAUACUGCUUGGCUAGGGGACGAGAGAGGCAGACGGUAUUUUCGGGGUAGGGGUGAAAUCCUAUAAUCCCGGGAAGACCACCAGUGGCGAAGGCUGUCUGCUAGAACGCGCCCGACGGUGAGGGAUGAAAGCUG
rnacentral:rRNA from 1 species